UACAGAGGUCCCAAGCGUUGUUCGGAUUUACUGGGCGUAAAGGGAGCGUAGGUGGCAUUCUAAGUCUGCUGUGAAAGCUCUGAGCUUAACUCAGAAAUGGCAUUAGAUACUAGUUUGCUUGAGGAUUGGAGGGGAGAUUGGAAUUCUUGGUGUAGCAGUGAAAUGCGUAGAUAUCAAGAGGAACACCAGUGGCGAAGGCGAAUCUCUGGACAAUUCCUGACACUGAUACUCGAAAGCUAGGGGAGCAAACGGG
rnacentral:rRNA from 1 species